rnacentral:rRNA from 1 species
CACCGCGGUUAUACGAGUAAUACAAAUUAAUAUUAAACGGCGUUAAGGGUGAUUAAAAAAAAUCUCACUUCAAAUAAAGUUAAGAUCGCAUCAAGCUGUCAUACGCCCCAUGCUCAAAAAMCCCACCAACGAAAGUAACUUUAAUAAAACAGAAUUUUUGACCUCACGACAGUUAAGACC